UACGGGGGGAGCAAGCGUUGUUCGGAUUUACUGGGCGUAAAGGGCGCGUAGGCGGCCAGUGCAAGUCAGUUGUGAAAUCUCCGAGCUUAACUCGGAAAGGUCAACUGAUACUGCUCGGCUAGAGUGCGGAAGGGGCAACUGGAAUUCCCGGUGUAGUGGUGGAAUGCGUAGAUAUCGAGAGGAACACCGGUGGCGAAGGCGGCCUUCUGGACAGUGACUGACGCUGAGACGCGAAAGCGUGGGGAGCAAACAGG
rnacentral:rRNA from 1 species